rnacentral:rRNA from 1 species
UACAGAGGUCUCAAGCGUUGUUCGGAUUCAUUGGGCGUAAAGGGUGCGUAGGUGGCGAGGCAAGUCUGGUGUGAAAUCCCGGGGCUCAACCCCGGAACCUGCACUGGAUACUGCCUUGCUUGAGCACUGGAGAGGGAACUGGAAUUACGGUGUUAGCAGUGAAAUGCGUAGAUAUCGUAAGGAAGACCAGUGGCGAAGGCGGGUCUCGUGGACAGUUCC